AACGGAGGGGACGAGUGUUACUCAUCAUAAUUGGGCGUAAAGGGUGCGUAGGCGGUUAGAUAAGUUAAAGGUGAAAGAAUAAUGCUUAACAUUAUAAAUGCCUUUAAAACUGUAUAACUAGAGUACGGGAGAGGAGAGUGGUACUCUUAUUGGAAAGGUGAAAUUUGAAGAGAAUAAGGGGACGACCAAAGGCGAAGGCAACUUUCUGGCUCGUUACAGACGCUGAGGCACGAAAGCACGGGGAGCAAAUAGG
rnacentral:rRNA from 1 species